CAUCACAAUUGUAUUUUACUAGUUGAAAAUAUCAAUGGCUCGCGCACCUGUUUCUCUGUAAUGACCUGAUCCUUGAUCAGAAAGUGGAGAAGCCGGGGGAACUUGGCCAUAGGGAACCUGUGGUUGGCUGGGAGCUCGCACGCAUAGCUGCUGUGAUGAACGACCGGAAGGGCGCUGGACUCCUGUCCUACCUGCAGGGUGGAAAGGCUCACUGUAAGGUUAAUACUGCCAUCUGCUGGGAUGGAGUGAAAACAACACGGAGUAUGAUGGGACUAAGGAACAAACGGAGGCUGCCCUAGCAUCACCAGAAGGGAGAGAUGAGGAGGAGAGGGAAAGCAAUAGACAAACAGGGAGACAGAGGCCAA